GCUCUGGUAGCUCAGUUGGUUAGAGCAUCCGACUGUUAAUCGGGGGGUCGCAGGUUCAAUCCCUGCCCGGAGCG
rnacentral:tRNA from 1 species